UACGUAGGUGGCGAGCGUUGUCCGGAUUUACUGGGCGUAAAGAGCGCGCAGGCGGUCGUUCAAGUCGCGUGUGAAAGCCCCCGGCUCAACUGGGGAGGGUCACGCGAUACUGAUCGACUCGAAGGCAGGAGAGGGUAGUGGAAUUCCCGGUGUAGUGGUGAAAUGCGUAGAUAUCGGGAGGAAGGCCGGUGGCGAAGGCGGCGCUCUGGAACAUUUCUGACGCUGAGGCUCGAAAGCGUGGGGAGCAAACAGG
rnacentral:rRNA from 1 species